CCGAUGCAUCUACAAUGACGGGAGUCAACACUCCUUCGACGAUUCGUCGGACCUUCACAAGGGCCGACGGACUCUUAUGAACGGGAGUUACACUCCUUCGACUUUCGGCAACACAUCCGCCCAAAGGCCGAUGCAACUGUUGCGACGGGAGUUCAUACUCCUUCUACGGUCGAAUUUUCGGGCAGAAUCCAUCGGCCGACAGGCCGAUCGGGCCCCGACCGAAGA
rnacentral:lncRNA from 1 species